AAAACUACAUUUGGUUAAAAAGAUGUGUUUGUAGGUUUUCUACUCUACCAUCAUAUGUGAGGAACUGUCAUAAAAAAAUUCCAACCAAACAACCCUACAGCUUAAAUUGAACUGGAAGUAAAUUCUCUGAAGACGGAUGUUAAUAACUCAGUUUCUUCUGUUGUAAGGAAGAAUACAUUUGAAAUGAAACAGGAUAUUGCUGGAAGUAGAGUGAAAUACAAUUGCAUUUCUAGGAUGUUAGACUUACUUUUCUACUGAACUUCAAGUAUUGAAAAGGUUGAUAUUCAGCACGUGUAGAAGGUGGUCAAGACUGAAGUGAAAUAGCCACUCACUGUACCAAAGCGCAGUUUGGAA
rnacentral:lncRNA from 1 species